rnacentral:pre_miRNA from 1 species
GUCCUUCACGAAUCUUUUUGCGGUCUGGGCUUGCUGUUCUCUGCUCACCCGGAAGCCCUUACCCCAAAAAGCAUUUGCGGGGGGC